rnacentral:snoRNA from 1 species
CCUGCCCCUGGAUGCUUUACAGGUAUGGCUGCUGUGCCCCGUGUCUGUCAGUAGGUGGCAGAGAGGAGAGAGGCUAUGUCUGACCUAAGACCAUCUGUAGGCUUAGAUU